rnacentral:rRNA from 1 species
CCUACGGGAGGCAGCAGUGGGGAAUAUUGGGCAAUGGGCGCAAGCCUGACCCAGCAACGCCGCGUGAAGGAAGAAGGCUUUCGGGUUGUAAACUUCUUUUCUGAGGGACGAAGAUAGUGACGGUACCUCAGGAAUACGCCACGGCUAACUACGCGCCAGCCGCCGCGGUACUACGUAGGUGGCAAGCGUUAUCCGGAGUUAUUGGGUGUAAAGGGCGUGUAGACGGGAAAGCAAGUCAGAUGUGAAACCUCAGGGCUCAACCCUGGGCCUGCUUUGGAAACUGUGUUUCGUGAGUGCUGGAGAGGCAAGCGGAAUUCCGUGUGUAGCGGUGAAAUGCGUAGAUAUACGGAGGAACACCAGUGGCGAAGGCGGAUUGCUGGACAGUAACUGACGCUGAGGCGCGAAAGCGUGGGGAGCAAACAGGAUUAGAUACCCGGGUAGUC